rnacentral:sRNA from 1 species
UUGCCUCAGGCAACGACCCGAAGGGCGAAGCGCGCAGCGCUGAGUCAUCCUUCCCCCACCACCA